rfam:Olsenella profusa F0195 contig00006, whole genome shotgun sequence.
GUGUGGCUGCGCCGUUUACGCAGACACGCCGGUCUGCUGGUAGGCGCCCGUACGGCACGGGGCGCAAGAGACGAAAGGC